CAGGCCGGACAGGAGGAAUGCGUUUCGACCACUAACUGUUGGGGAGCUGAAGCGCGCCUUUGAUUUGGCGCGUGAUGAUAUGCAAGUUGGUGUGAUUAUCUUCACAGGCAAGGUGCUCUGCUGCUCCUCUACACUCAAUUUUUUUCUGUUGAGUGUGAAGUUCGCAUGGAAUUGAUUGCAAGGAUUCACUUUUUUAUUGUUAUUACUUAUUACUAUUCUUAUUAUCCCUUUCCUUACGCAUGCUGAUUUCAAUGAUUGUAUUGGGACGAAAUAAUAAUGGGAAUAUACCUCUUAUGCUCCAAUUGUAUACCUUUGCAGGGAACGGAAGCUUUCUGCAGCGGAGGGGAUCAAGCAGUGCGGGGAAAACAUGGAUAUGUUGGAGAUGAUAAUAUUGGCCGCCUGAAUAUUCUGGAUGUGCAGGUAAUAUUUGUAUUGCAAUGCAUUGUAAAGCUACUUGCCGUGAUGUGAAGAUGUUCUGACUGGAUGAACACCUUUGCCGCUGGUUAUAUGACCUUACAGAGAACAUUGGGAUUACUCUUCAUCAUUGAAGACCUUCCAUCGUUUACAAUAGUAAUAGCUAGUAUUUUGGAUAAUUCGGGGGGUCGUUGGACCUAUUUUCAUCUAUUUGAAUCAGAGUGUGGUUAGGGCCAUGUCUAGAAUUUCUAAUAUGUCCGCAUUUUCAAAUCUACCUGUCUGCAGUUCACAAGUCAUGCCACUUGGAUAGUUUAUAAGUCUCUACUUCAUAACGCUGUUUGAAACUGACGAAUAUAUCCACGCUUCGUACAGAUG
rnacentral:lncRNA from 1 species